UUCCUUACAGAUUCUCCUCAGCUCACUACAGCACGAGUCACACACACAGACAGACAGAAAGAUGCCAGAAGAAGUUCCUGCUCAGUGCAAACUCCCCAAAGAGGAGCUGGACAAAUGUGUUCAGGGUAAAGGAGCAGAGGCCUGUAAGGAGCUGCUGGAGGCUUUCAACGCCUGUGUGAAGGGAGCCACAGCGGCCUCCUGAGGGGGACAUGGAUAUACAUGUCCUUCCUCUCUGGUCCUCCAGUGUCCUUGCAUUCCCUCACUCUGCACUGGACUGAACCAUUCGAAGGACAGUGAAAGGGGUGCAGGAGCUGGAAAGCAGUGGAAUUUAUUUAUUUAGAUCCUGAAAAGUCUUGUCUCAUGUCGUCUGUGUUAUUUGUAACUGUGUUGUUGUUGUUGUUUCUGAAUUCAGAUUUGAUGCUGUAAAAAGCACAAUGUAUUUCAUCUGAUUUUGAAUAAAUUAUUAUCGUUGUUUACCA